UACGUAGGGUGCAAGCGUUAAUCGGAAUUACUGGGCGUAAAGGGCGCGUAGGCGGCCUGUUAAGUCGAACGUGAAAUCCCCGGGCUCAACCCGGGAACUGCGUCCGAUACUGGCAGGCUUGAAUCCGGGAGAGGGAUGCGGAAUUCCAGGUGUAGCGGUGAAAUGCGUAGAUAUCUGGAGGAACACCGGUAGCGAAAGCGGCUUCCUGGUCCGACACCGACGUCAGGCACGAAAGCGUGGGGAGCAAACAGG
rnacentral:rRNA from 1 species